AGCAGCCUAGCCUAGUGGAAAGGGCAUGUGACUGGAAGGCAGAGGACCUGGGUUAUAAUCCCAGCUCUGUUG
rnacentral:tRNA from 1 species